GCCACAAUGCCUCGCUGAACAGCCCUUAAAUCUUUAUUGUAUUUUGCCUCUGGGGCUUGCUCAUCACUGUGGGUCUAAAAGUGUCUGUUAUGGUCAGAAAUAACUUUAAAAAAAUAUUGCACCACUGAGCCAACGAGUAGUUCAAAUGGCUCCAAAAGUGUAAACUUGUAAAAUGCAACGCAGAGGAAGCACUUCAGCAUUUGGAAUAAACGGACUGCUUCACUGUGUCACUCUCAGCACUUUUGUUUUACGAAGCCCAGAAAUACUGAGCUGAAGGAAGAGUAUCUAUAAAGCCCCCGAAGGUACUUGAGAAUUUUCUUUUCUUCCUGGACAAGAAAGAUGAACAGCCGUGUGGACAUCAUAGCUGAAAGCUGCUCUUAAAACCUGCUGCUUUUUCCUUCGUGGAGCACGUUCUCCAAGCCUGAGAGCGCAAAGGUCUGGAGAGAAACAGUUUAAACUGGGAAUUAUCAGCCUGUGCUUUUAACCUAAUCACGUGCAUGGCUAUUUCUCAUACAAUAUGGACCAUUCAUUGAGUUUCGCUUCUUGGUUUCUACUUGGUUAUACUAAAAAGGUCAUCCGAUGAUUUCUUACGAUUGCAUUGAAUUUAUGCAAUUUGAACAAGAAUAUUUUGGCAGUGAUAUUCCUUCUCAAUGCAGCAUAUCAGGGGUGAGAAAAUACGGAGAGUGGAUUCUAUGGAGGUCAUGAAGAAGAUGGAUGGAGAUGAAGAAAAAUGGAUUGCAGUAGGGAAAGAGAAAGGAAAAUGAAAUACAGAUAAAAAUAUGAAUGGAAAAUAGAAGGAAACAGGCAAGAAGGAAAAAAAAAUGGGCCCAACGUCUGAGACACCUAGUUUAGCAAUGAAAAGGAGGCUCAUAUGAGAUACCGAAAGAAAGAAAUUAUGAGGAAGAAAAUUAUGACUUCUUAUAAAGUCCAGGAGUCUUGGGUAGACUUGGGUAAGCAUCGGAGGACAAAAAUCACACAACAGGGCAAAAGAGAAUAUACCAACGGUUUCAACAUUCUUAAACCUUUAUCGGUAGAGAGGUAAAAUGGAAUCUGUGUAUUUACUGAAAUCAAAAUUCCAGCUUGGAUCUUGGCAUGGUUGGCAUGGCUGAAGCAUUGGCCGUGUAGUAAAAAGUUCACAGCGAAGUCCCAGUCCAGUGUGGUAUCUAAGUAAGUUAUACUGCAAUAUAAGUUGCUGAAGUUUGAGAUUUUUUUGUUUUGUUAUCUGUAAAAUAAGCAUAAUAACAGUACUAAUAGUAGUGCUUCAGGAUUAUUGUGAGCAUUUCAUUUUAAAGUUUCAUGUACAGUCUUAGUAUUUGUAUUGAGAGUGUUAAUUAUACUACUAUUAGUUACAAAGCUUCAAACAAAUAUUUUUAUUUCUGACCGUCGCUACUUAAUCUAUAGAAUGGGAGCAAAGAUAAAAUAUUUAUGGGACUUAUGAUAUAGCUCAGUGGCACAGUGACUUCCUGGCAAGUGCAAGGUCCUGAGUUCAAUUCCUGAUAUAAAAAAAAAAAUUAUGAUCUGGAGGGAGGCAUAAAUUCUGUUAUCUACACCAAAUUUCGGUCACAAAAUUGGUUCACAAUAGUAGCUAUUAUUGUUUAGAAUGCACUGGCUUCAAAACCAAUACGAGUUCUAACUUUCUCAGGUAACAAAAUGUGUUUAGAAUAUCUAAUUUAUUUUUUACUUUAUGGACCUGAUGCCUUUUACAUCAAGGGACAGGAACUCUGCACAGAUUGGCAGUAGUACUUGUGUUCUCCUUAGGAAGAACACUGAGGCUAAAUAGCUUCUGAAAGCCCUUAGAUCACCAAAUUCUGUUUGUCUGUCAAAAUAGUUUGGAAUCUGCUUCUGAUUUUCCAAAUUUCACUCCUCUUUUCCUAGCCAUUAUUAUGCUUUCUGUGGUUAUCUUCAUCUGUUAUCCAUAUAUCUACAAAUAUAUGCCUAUAUAUGAUUGCAUAUAUAGCAAUAUAUGUAUAUUAGGAAACACAGUUUUGGUCAUUCCAAGAUUGGUUCUUUGAAAGAGAAGAAGGAAGAGCUGUAUAAGAAAUAAACAAACUUCCUUUUAAGAUACUGCCUGGUUUCCACAAUCCUUUAUUUCUUCAUUUCACCAUCUUUCUUAUGAAACACAGCUUCUCAUACCAAGCAGUGUGCACAGAAACCAUGGAGCAAACAGUUGUUCAUUUGGAUUCUUAGAAGCAUAAGGUUAAGUUUUCCUCACAAUAUGUUCUGUUUGACUGAAAUCAAAGACCCAUAUCAGCCAUGGUUCUACAAUCAGAGAUUUAUAGUAGGUGUUUCACUGGAAGCUAUAUUAUUGUAAUUGAUU